rnacentral:sRNA from 1 species
CUUGGUCAUUUAGAGGAAGUAAAAGUCGUAACAAGGUCUCCGUUGGUGAACCAGCGGAGGGAUCAUUAUCGAGUUACACGACUCCCAACCCUAUGUGAACAUACCUCUGUUGCUUCGGCGGACCCGCCCCGGCGCCAACGGCCCGGAACCAGGCGACCGCCGGGGGACCCAAACCUCUGUAUUUACGAGUAUUCUGAGUGGCGUACGCGCAAAUCAAAUCAAAACUUUCAACAACGGAUCUCUUGGCUCUAGCAUCGAUGAAGAACGCAGCGAAAUGCGAUACGUAAUGUGAAUUGCAGAAUUCAGUGAAUCAUCGAAUCUUUGAACGCACAUUGCGCCCGCCAGUAUUCUGGCGGGCAUGCCUGUCCGAGCGUCAUUUCAACCCCUCAAGCCCAGCUUGGUGUUGGGGACCGACCCGCCCCCGGGCGCCGUCGGCCCUGAAAUGAAGUGGCGGUCCCGCCGUGGAACCUCUGCGUAGUAGCAACACCUCGCACUGGACAGCGGCGGCGGCCACGCCCAACCCCAUAUCUUUCAAGGUUGACCUCGGAUCAGGUAGGAAUACCCGCUGAACUUAAGCAUAUCAAUAAGCGGAGGAAAAGAAACCAACAGGGAUUGCCUCAGUAACGGCGAGUGAAGCGGCAACAGCUCAAAUUUGAAAUCUGGCCCCCGGCCCGAGUUGUAAUUUGCAAAGAACGCUUUUGACGCGGUGCCUUCCGAGUUCCCUGGAACGGGACGCCACAGAGGGUGAGAGCCCCGUACGGUCGUGCAACCAAGUCUCUGUAAAGCUCCUUCGACGAGUCGAGUUGUUUGGGAAU